rnacentral:misc_RNA from 1 species
CUGUGUUGCUUACCCAUGGAGAGGAAUUUGAUGGCUUUGGUGUCCCUAUUCCGCCUUGCACCCAUCGAGGGUGCUGGGUGGACGCGAGGCGAGCUCUGUGUUCCCCGYGUGCCGAGUGCAUUGGCGCUCGGCCGUUGUGGCCCAUGGGGUCUCGGCCCGUGCUCUCGGAUGCGGAACGUUAUGUGUGCGGGCGUGGGGUGGUCCCGGCCUCCCUCGUCCGAGCGACACUUCGCAUUGUCCCUUGACGCGAGCGACUGCCGUUCCCGUCUUGACCGGCCUACUGGCCCCCGCCGCGGGGCUCAGGAAGGGCGGCUCAUGCGGGAGUCGGCGUCGGAUAGGAAUGC